rnacentral:antisense_RNA from 1 species
UUUUUUUUUUUGAGACGAAGUCUCGAUCUUGUCCCCCAGGCUGGAGUGUGAUGGCGUGAUGGUGCGAUCUUGGCUCACUGCAACUUCCGCCUCCCGGUUUCAAGCAAUUCUCCUGCCUCGGCCCCCCAAGUAGCUGGGAUUACAGGCAGGAGAACCACUUGAACCUGGGAGGUAGAGAUUGCAGCGAGCUGAGGUCACAUCACUGCACUCCAGCCUUGGCGACAGAGGGAGACUUUGUCUCAACAACAAUAACAAAAAAAACAAAAAAAUAAAUAAAAAUAUAUUUCCAGUUUCUUCUGUAGUUGUUGGUCUUUUCAAUGAAGGCAACUAAAACCUUUUUAAUUAUUUAGUUUAUUUUUAAUGCUGUAAUGAAUUUGUAUUUUCCUAAAAUACUUUACAUAACAGUACCCUUUUUUAUUCAUAAUACCACGUGAUUUUUUUUCUCUUGAUUAGCCUUGUC